ACAUCAAACUAAAAAACUUCUACAUAGCAAAGGAAACAAUCAACAGAGUGAAGAGACAACAUAUAGAAUGACAGAAUAUAUUUGCAAGCCAUACAUCCAAUAAGAGGUACAAAAUAUAAAAUAUAAAAGCAACAAAUACAAAGCAAAAAAAAUACAAAAAAAUACAAAAUAUAAAAGCAACUCAAACAACUCAAUAGUAAGAAAACAAAUAACCCAAAUAAAAAAUGGGCAAGGGACCUGAAUAGACAUUUUUCAAAGGAAGACAUAUAGAUAUCCAAUAGUAUAUGAAAAAAUGCUCAAUAACACCAAUCAGGCUGGGCGUUGUGGCUCACGCCUGUAAUCCCAACACUUUGGGAGUCUGAGGUGGGUGGAUCACAAGUCAGGAGCUUGAGAACAGUGUGGCCAAUACGGUGAAACCCCGUCUCUACUAAAAAUACAAAAAUUAGCUGGGUGUGGUGGCGGGCACCUGUAGUCCCAGCUACUCGGGAGACUGAAGCAGAAGAAUCCCUUGAACCCAGGAGGCAGAGGUUGCAGUGAGCCAAGAUCACACCACUGCACUCCAGCCUGGGUGACAGACCGAGACCUCGUCUCAAAACAAAAAACAAAAAACAAAAAACAAAAACCACUAAUCACCAGGGAAACGCAAAUCAAAACCACAAUGAGAUAUAUCACACUUGUUAGAAUGACUACUAUCAAAAAAGAUGAAAGAUAAGUGUUGAGGAUGUGAAGAAAAGGAAACCCUUGUACACUGUUGGUGGGCAUGUAAAUUGGUACAGCCAUUACAGAAAGCAGUAUGAAGCUUCCUCAAAAAAUUAAAAAUUGGACUACAGUACCAUAUGAUCCUGCAAUCCCACUCCUGGGUCUAUAUCCAAAAGAAAUAAAAUCUGUAUGUUGAAGGGACACCUACAAUCCCAUGUUCACUGUAGCAUUAUUCACAAUGUUCAAGAUAUGGAACAACCUAAGUGUCCAUCAAAGGAUGACUGGAUAAAGAAAAUGUGUUAUAUGUACAUAAUGGAAUACUAAUCAGCCUUAGAAAAUAAAAAAAAUCCUCUCAUUUAUGACAACAUGGAUGAACUUGGAGGACAUUUUGUUAAGUGAAAUAAGUCAGGCACAGAAUGACAAAUACCACAUAAUCUCGUAUGUGGAGUAUUUAAAAACUCAAACUUAGCCAGUGGUUAAGUGGCACAUGCCUGUAGUCCAUCUACUCCAGGGGCUGAGGCAGGAUGAUUGCUUAAGUCCAGGAGUUCUGGGCUGUAGUGUGCUAUGCCAAUAGGGUGUCUGCACUAAGUUCAGCAUCAGUAGUAGGUGACCUUUUUGAGAGCAGGGGACCGCUAGGUUUUCUAAGGAGGGGUGAACCAGCCCAGGUCAGAAAUGGAGCAGGUCAAAUAUCCCAUGCUUAUCAGUGGUAGGAUAAGCACUCCAGCCUGGGCAACAUAGUGAGACCCCAUCUCUUUAAAAAAAAAAAACAAAAACCUCAAACUUAACAGAAAUAAGGAAUAAAGUGGUACUUACCAGAGGCUGAGGGAUGGGAGGAUUGGGGAGAUAUUAGUCAAAUGACACAAAAUUUCAGGUAGACAGGAGGAGUAAGUUCAGAAGAUAUAUUGUUCACUUUGUUGACUAUAGUUAAUGACAAUAUAUUAUAUAUUUGAAAAUUGCUGAGAGUAGAUUUUAAAUAUUCUCACCAUAAAAAAAGUAUCUUAGAUUAUAGAUAUUUAGAUGAUGGUUAAUUAGCUUGAUUUAUCCAUUUCACAAUGUAUACACAUAUUAAAACAUCAUGUUGUUGUAUACCACAAAUACAUACAAUUUUUACUGGUCAAUUAAAGUAAAGAAAUAAAUAAUUACAAGUAUUGAAUACUUAGUUUUACUGAUCUCAAGUACUGAAAAUAUGUCAAUACAAAACAUACUGAAAUACCAAAAUACACUGAAAUUAUACUCCAGUAUUUAAAUGACCCUUCAGUUUGGUACUGGAGGCCCUUUAAAUCAGCUUCCCGUCUACAUUUUCCACUAUUUCCAUCCCAGAGAUAGAUGUUUUUCUCUAUGUGUCCUUUUCCAAAUAGACCUUGGAUCUGGCUACCUCGAUUCCUUUUAUCAAGACCCAUUUUCCUAUUUCUAUCUGUAAUGUUUAUAUGAAACAAACACAACUGGUAGAAUGGAAUCUUAAAGCAAAUUCAUUUUUGACUGUCUCUUUACAUCUCCACUGAGGGGCUGUUCUCCUUGACCCUAGGAAAAAACAGAGGUUGCCCCUCAGAGAUAUUAAAGGUACUCAGCCAUUUUUAAAGUCACAAAACAUGGUGGAAAUCAGGAAUUAAAAUGGCAGUCAUAGGUAAGAAUGAUAAUUCUUAACCUUGAAGUUUCUCCUCCUCUCCUCCAGUUUGUACUGGCCACAGGCUAGAAGUCUGAAAUUUGAAAGUGGGUUAGGGGAUAAUCUCAUGAUUCUUCUCCUUUUACCAUCUUUCUAAAGCUGAUUCUGACCACUCUAGGAUCUGGAGCUUAGGAAGGGAGAUCAAUGAAGGAGUACUAGCAAAGUUCUUAGUUGACUGGUGCUGUGCAGGUGAUCAAGUUGGUGCUCUCUGGCCUUUGCAGAUGUUUAAAGCUGAUUGCUCUUUUAAGGGAUUUUCAUGGGUUGCUCUGAGACUCUUCCUUUUCCCCACCUUUCUGCAGCCUUAGGUAUCCAGCAGCAGUUCAUCUCCAGCUUUCCUGUAUUGAGGCUCCUCACUCCUGCAGGAGGUCAUUAUAAACACGGGCUAAGCAACACCACACAACUCCCUUUCCCUCAUGGGCCACAUCUGGUCCAUAGGAAACAUGUUUGUCCAGGAAAACUCUGGGAAUGCAGCCCCUUCCCCAUAACUCAGCACUCUGGAUUUAGAUUUCUCAAGCAUGAACCAGUCAGAAGUCCCCUGUGUCCCUCAAACUUUAGAAGACACAUAUUAAGCUCCACGGAUGGUUCCAUAAAAGUUCUGUCCUUUGGUUUGAUUUAAGGAGCAGAUAUCCCUCCUUCCCACCCCCACCCUCUUUCUCCCCCUUUCUCCUCUCCUCUCCUGUCCUUUCCUCUCUUCUUCUCUCCCCUUUUUCCCCCAUAAUGAGAAGGAUAGAAUUCUUGGAACCCAAUACUUCCCUCCAAAGAAAUCCUUUUCAAAAGUCUUCCUGAUCUCCAAUUCAGCAUCCCUUUACGCCAUCAGUGUGGGUAAUCAUUUAAGAGUUACCAACCCAGGGCUAGGCACGGUGGCUCACGCC
rnacentral:lncRNA from 1 species